AUACGAACCGGACAAACGUUAUUCGGAAUUAUUGGGCUUAAAGGGUGCGUAGGCGGCGCGGUAAGUGAGGUGUGAAAGCCCACGGCUCAACCGUGGAAUUGCGCUUCAUACUGCCGUGCUAGAGGGAGACAGAGGUAAGCGGAACUGAUGGUGGAGCGGUGAAAUGCGUUGAUAUUAUCAGGAACACCGGUGGCGAAAGCGGCUUACUGGGUCUCUUCUGACGCUGAGGCACGAAAGCUAGGGUAGCGAACGGGAUUAGAUACCCCGGUAGUCC
rnacentral:rRNA from 1 species